AGGUGGGAACUGAAAGCCCUUCGCUUCUUUCGUGUCCGCCAUUUUAAAGAACGCAGGUGGUGGCUCGUGAAGGUUACAGCGUUCUCUCAGUAUAGCAAAAGAAUUAAAGUCAUGCUGAUAAACCACUUUAAACAUUCCUGGAACCUGAUUUUCUGCUACAGAACAAUGUUAAUUGUUGACCAUUUAAACAUCAGUGUCCUCACAUGGAGAUUUUUAAAAGGACCGUCGUCUGACCUGGAGGAGUUACUGAGAUCUUUACGGUCCAUAGAAACACUGAAUCUGAGCAUCACUCUGAAUUCCAGUUAUCCCAGUAUGGAGAGUUAUAGUGGUUCCUUCCACUUCCUGCAGUGUGACCGUCUCGUCUCCAGCUGCACACAGUAAACCUGCAUCACAGAUUCAGAGAAGUUCAACACUGGACUGGACUCCUGUCUCGAUCCUGAUGUUUGUCCAUCCUCAGCUAAACGUUACAUUACAUGUGGGUAACACGCCAAUUUCACUUCACUCUGUAUUUAUAACCAGAAAUAUCAUGCUUGCAAAUACUGAAUAAAAAACUUUAUGGACUGAA